rnacentral:misc_RNA from 1 species
GCGCCAUCGUACUAGACAGCGAUAGUUCGCCAUAUGCGAGUGAGCACUAGAGCGCAGGCGGCGUUCCCUCCCUGCCUUGUUUCUCCUCACACACACCUUAGAGACUCUGUUUGAUAUUCGGCCUCCUCAUUGUCUUCUCCUCUCAGAGCUUUUAAGGCGUCAGGCGUUGCGGUGCGCACCUGCGGAGGUUUCGCUGCGCAGGUGCGCAGUUCUGUCUUUUAUCACGUCGAACCGCCCUCUUCUCGGUCAAUCCUCGCUUCUGUGCCCAUCUUUCCUCUUCCUCUCAGCUCCUUCCUCAAACUGCCAGGCUGAGUGAAUUGGUACUGCUGAGUGAGCACUCGCCGCGGGUGAUGGCCGCUACCCCACCAGCGCUGCUGCUGGCCGAAGAGCAGCGAAGGUUGCUUGAUCAGUUUGAAUUCCAUGUUAUUCAAGAGAGGGGGGACACGUCGGUGGUCUGGGUCGGCUCUGCCAUGCGGAGCGGACCGACUUCGACCAACAACGGCAGUGUGAGCGGCACCACGCCCAGCUCGAGCGCGUCGAGCGGCACCUCUUCCCCUUUCGCUUGCGCCCCCUCGGUAGCCCCAUCAAAAGCGGUGCCUCCUGACAGCGAGCAAGUCGCGAGAGUCACUCGCUUCGACUUGACCGCGCCCCAUGGCGGAGGUCGUGUCCCGCCUCUCACAGGGGCGAAGUGCGAUCCGUUGCAACGCAUGGAACCAGCGCAAAGCGGAGUUGCCAUGAAUAGUCGAGCGCAGGAGCUGGAAGCGCCGACACCGCCGAGCUUGCAUGUGAUCGCUGCCGCCCCGCUGCUGCAUGACAAUCUCUCUAUUCGAAAAGGUGACUUGGCGUCUCCAGUGACCGGUGUGUCUGUCUCCUCCUCUCAUCAACCCAGCAGGGGCUGGCGCACGCAUGUUGGAGGUGACUCUGCUGUGCCUCUUGGAGAACUCCUGCGCCACGUCGACGCCGACGCCCUCACCGGAGCGACACAGACGUCCGUCGACGAAAAAUGCAAAGAGUUGGCGGAGCGUCUUCUGCGGAUGUCGGCAGAGGCGGAUGCGGUGGCGUUGGCCAUGAACCACGACGUGGUAUCACCGCUUGAGUUCUUCUGAGAAAACCCCGAAACGCAUGAGAGACCGAAGCGACAAAGAAAGAGGAAGCAGGCAAGGAACGCGCCCGCAACGGCGGUGCACUUUCCUCCCCAUUCGCCCUCUGCCGCCGCCUGUUUCUUCGCCCGGCCGCUCUUUUCCCCCUUUUUAUUUUGGCUGACCUGCGCACACCGCUCUACCACAUGCGACAGGGAGGCGAGAAGGGCUGACUGUGGGCCCCGAUAUUGCCUUUGGGUGGUUCUCCAGCACAGUUUCUGUGCGUCUUGUUGUGCUGCUGCAUUGCUAGCAUCGUAUGUCCUGCUGGUUGUCUCUCUUCUCCUUUAUUCCAUUCUGGAAAAAAAAACACACCGGGCACGCCGACCCUACCCCUCCCGUCCCGUAG